AUUGAACGCUGGCGGCAUGCCUAACACAUGCAAGUCGAACGAGUGGCGGACGGGUGAGUAAUGUCUGGUAAACUGCCUGAUGGGGGGGGAUAACUACUGGGAAAGGUAGCUAAUACCGCAUACCAUAAUUUUUACCCAGGUCGGAUUAGCUGGUUGGUGGGGUAACGGCUCACCAAGGCGACGAUGCCUAGCUGGUCUGAGAGGAUGACCGGCCACACUGGAACUGAGACACGGCCCAGACUCCUACGGGAGGCAGCAGUGGGGAAUAUUGCGCAAUGGGCGAAAGCCUGAUGCAGCCAUGCCGCGUGUAUGAAGAAGGCCUUCGGGUUGUAAAGUACUUUUAGCGGGGAGGCGUUACCCGGAGAAGAAGCACAGGCUAACUCCGUGCCAACAGCCGCGGUAAUUC
rnacentral:rRNA from 1 species